rnacentral:tRNA from 1 species
CAAAAAAUAGUUUAAUAAAAAUAAUAAUUUUGGAGAUUAUUGAUAAAAUUUUAAUUUUUUUUUUGA